rnacentral:rRNA from 1 species
GUGCCAGCAGCCGCGGUAAGACAGAGGGUGCAAACGUUGUUCGGAAUUACUGGGCGUAAAGCGCGUGUAGGCGGCGCGGUAAGUCAGGUGUGAAAGCCCUGGGCUCAACCUAGGAAGUGCACUUGAAACUACCGUGCUUGAGAUCUGGAGAGGAAGGCGGAAUUCUCGGUGUAGAGGUGAAAUUCGUAGAUAUCGAGAGGAACACCGGUGGCGAAGGCGGCCUUCUGGACAGCAUCUGACGCUGAGACGCGAAAGCGUGGGGAGCAAACAGGAUUAGAUACCCCCGUAGUCC